AUCACAAGUGUUUACAUUCCGAGCCGCGUUCCAUUUGCUCCUGACAGAACACAACAAAGCACAGCAAAGGCUGCGCUGGGUCAGGGAAGGUUCCCCUGCUCCAGCAGCAGCUUUCCCAUCCAGCUGCUCAGGGAAGGGGUUAAGAGCACACCAGGAAUGCAGCAGCGCUUUCCUGGAAUGUUAUUGUGUUUCCCAACAAUGUGUGUCUUGGGACUUUGCGAGUCACAAUCCUUGGUUUUACUGUUGAACAGGUUCUGCUUUAACUCCCCUCCAUUAACUUCUCCCGCUACCCCCGGAGCACAAGUAAAUUCCGAGCAUCCAUAAUAUCCCGUGGCAAGGGAUUUUACAGCUCCAUCACAAGGAAAUCCUAUUAGAGACUGCUCAUCUGUUUACCAAACUGCUGGAAAAAAUAGGAUUCUGGCAAUUUUGAAUAUAUAGGAACAAAACAAGCUGAUGCAAUCCAAUUCUGCUCUCCAGUGGAUGAGAUUUUGUGGAUAAGGAAGAAGCAGCAGAUCCCACACACCUGAGGCUCCUGACAUGGUCCCACGUGACAUCCAUAAGUGAUGAAUGCCUUGGCAGAAGUCCUGACACAAAUCUGGUUGGAACCUGCAGUCUGAGAGCAGUUUCCAAUGGCUCACUGUGAAAUGCAAAGGACAAAUUGAAUGGUUACUCAGCUGCUCAGAAGAUCCAUUCAAUAUUUUAUUGAUAGCCUGGAUGAGGGAAUGGACUGUGUGUUUAUUAAAUCUGCCAAGAUUAAAUCUGUGAAGAGUGGCUGCAAAUACAUGGGGGAGAGCAGUAUUAAAAACUUUUGA